CAUUUCACCAUAAAGGCAGAGAAUAUAAAAACAACUUUGAUAACAUUGAUUAAAUAUCCAAAUGAAUCCAAGUGCCCUCUUUGUAAAAAGCACAGAGACUACAGCAUCCUGCUACAUCACCUUCAGAGUCAUGAAGGCCACAUUGUCAAGUAUGCAGGUUUCCAAAGGACCAUUUUGUGGUGUCUCUGUAUUUCAUCCUCGAGGCCCCCUUCAAUUUUAAUGAGUUAUGUCUCAACUUUAGUCCUCUCUUCUUUCAUUGUAGUAUUUGUAGAGGGAGGAUUAUAUCUGGUUGCUGGUUCCAAUUUUUGCCACCUUCUACAAUUUGUGUUGGAUAUUUGUGUUAUGUUUAACUUACUUUAUUAUAUUUGUUUUUUUUUUAAUUUCAACAUACUGUCCAUAGUGGUUUUGAAGUUCCAGAAA